ensembl:lncRNA
CUCUGCCCCUCCCUGAUUUAUGUGUGCUUGAUCGCUCUUUCAUUAUUGUUUGUAUUUGAAUGGAACCACGUCUACUGAUUCUUAGUAUAACAAACCAAAUGCCUUUUGGGUUAUUGAUACUGGCUUGAGGUAAAUAUUUCCUUGGGUCAGCUCUUUUACAAAGGUUAAUGCCCUACAACACAACCACCUGCCAUAGAAAGAGAGAGAGAAAGACAGACAGACAGACAGAUAGGUGGAUAAACAGUUAAAUAGAUUGUAACUGUUGCCCCUAUAUUACUUUAAUAUUUUGUAAAGGUUUUCCAAUGGACUAUAUUUUGUGUUUUUAUAUAGCAUUACUGUACUGGCGCCUCCGCUGAGCUGCUGGUUAGAGCGAGAGACACAGAGAAACAAGCAGAUGUAGUUACACACGUGUCUAAGAGUUCGUUAGUUAAGAGAAAUAUGAAUGCCGUUAAAAAGUGAAAAGGACUUAUUUUAAGUGAUAUAAAAGAAGAUCAGAAGACUUUCUUUCAGAGCAUGCAGCCAACGAGGAUCCUUGGAACUGGCAGUGUGAUGAAGAAAUGGUUCAGCGGUUAUGUACAUGUGUGAAGACACGUGUUCAAAAGGAUUCAGGAUGGCAGGAUUGGUGAUGGGCAAUGAAUGGUGGCAGUGCCGUCUCCAUCUGGCUCUGUGGUUCUCCUUCGCCAUCUCUUUUUCUUUCAUAUCCAAAUACAAUCUCAGAGCAUGUAUUUCAUGCAUACCUGCCAUAAUCACCGCUGCCAUUCUCAGUUAGAUGGCAGCGACACCCUAUAAGCCAUAUCAGCGCUCUACUGAUAUUCUGCCAGUGUAUGCCUCUCACAGGCUCAGUCCCCUGAGAUAGCAGUGUGUCGCCGUUAGCGCUACUGUUCUCUUUGUUCCUGUACAUACACUUCCUUCAUGCAUGGGCUCUAUGCUGGGAAAUCAAACACUUGUACUACAGCAUAUGGUAUUCCUCACACCACUCCCUGUUUUCCUCUUUAUGUAGCCCCAGCGGUCAGUAAAGGGUUCCUGUUUUUGCACAGGCGUUUAUACCUUCAGGGCAGGUUGCUGGAGCAUGAUAUUUGAUCACUUCAGAAUAGGAGCUGCUGCCUCUGUGGCGGAAGCAUACAUUCUGUCGAGGCCCGGUUCUAUCCAUUUCCUCUGGCCAUUCUGACACAAACACAC